rnacentral:lncRNA from 1 species
GUAGCUUUACAUGUUGGAAAGAGCCCACGAUAAAAUAAACAGGAAAGGGGAAAUCAAACACAGUGAGAGGAGACAGUUGUACAGAGACUGCCAGCCCUGAUUCAGGUCGGGCAUGUCUGUGUCUGAACAACCUCCACCCAGAGGCCAGAGCAGCCAAGCAAGAUUGUGCUCAAGUUUGCUUGUCUGAAGGCUAGAAAUGGGGUAGUAAAUCCUGCUUCAGGUAGCCCAGCUCAAAAAAAAGUUAUUUUCCAAAGUCGUCCGUGCCUUAGGUGCACAGACUAUUUUAAUGAUAUUUCUUCUUUUCUGAUUGCAACUGUAAUGCAUACUUAUGGUGGAAACUACCACCAAGCAUAAAGAAAACACAAUUGUUUCUGGUUCCCACUUCUCCAUGGUAACCACCAAUAAAUUUUGUAUCUUUCCAUCUAGCACAGGAUUCCUGUCUUCGUCAACAAAUACGAGGUGAGGCAGAAUGAAGG